rnacentral:rRNA from 1 species
AUUGAACGCUGGCGGCAGGCUUAACACAUGCAAGUCGAGCGGUAGCACAAGAGAGCUUGCUCUCUGGGUGACGAGCGGCGGACGGGUGAGUAAUGUCUGGGAAACUGCCUGAUGGAGGGGGAUAACUACUGGAAACGGUAGCUAAUACCGCAUAACGUCGCAAGACCAAAGAGGGGGACCUUCGGGCCUCUUGCCAUCAGAAGUGCCCAGAUGGGAUUAGCUAGUAGGUGGGGUAAUGGCUCACCUAGGCGACGAUCCCUAGCUGGUCUGAGAGGAUGACCAGCCACACUGGAACUGAGACACGGUCCAGACUCCUACGGGAGGCAGCAGUGGGGAAUAUUGCACAAUGGGCGCAAGCCUGAUGCAGCCAUGCCGCGUGUGUGAAGAAGGCCUUCGGGUUGUAAAGCACUUUCAGCGAGGAGGAAGGUGGUGAACUUAAUACGUUCAUCAAUUGACGUUACUCGCAGAAGAAGCACCGGCUAACUCCGUG